AUCUACAGCCAUACCACUCUGCAUACCCCAUCUCCUCUGAUCUCAGAAGCUAAGCAGGGUCAGGCCUGGUUAGUAUAUGGAUGAGAGAACCUCACAGACAAGUUGUCCCUAAAUU
rnacentral:rRNA from 1 species